rnacentral:rRNA from 1 species
UACGAAGGGGGCUAGCGUUGUUCGGAAUCACUGGGCGUAAAGCGCACGCAGGCGGAUCGAUAAGUCGGGGGUGAAAGCCCGGGGCUCAACCUCGGAAUUGCCUUCGAUACUGUCGGUCUCGAGUCCGGGAGAGGUGAGUGGAAUUCCUAGUGUAGAGGUGAAAUUCGUAGAUAUUAGGAAGAACACCAGUGGCGAAGGCGGCUCACUGGCCCGGUACUGACGCUCAUGUGCGAUAGCGUGUGGAGCAAACAGG